rnacentral:rRNA from 1 species
GUAGGUGGCAAGCGUUGUCCGGAAUUAUUGGGCGUAAAGCGCGCGCAGGCGGUUCUUUAAGUCUGAUGUGAAAGCCCACGGGCUCAACCGUGGAGGGUCAUUGGAAACUGGAGAACUUGAGUACAGAAGAGGAAAGCGGAAUUCCACGUGUAGCGGUGAAAUGCGUAGAGAUGUGGAGGAACACCAGUGGCGAAGGCGGCUUUCUGGUCUGUAACUGACGCUGAGGCGCGAAAGCGUGGGGAGCAAACAGGAUUAGAUACCCUGGUAGUCCACGCCGUAAACGAUGAGUGCUAAGUGUUAGGGGGUUUCCGCCCUUUAGUGCUGCAGCUAACGCAUUAAGCACUCCGCCUGGGGAGUACGGCCGCAAGGCUG